rnacentral:lncRNA from 1 species
GUGCAACAAAAAAUCAAUACCCUUCAUCUAGAAGCCAUGAUCAGUUUACAGCAGUGUCAUCUACUGGACCUAAUAUUCAGUCUACCAAAUUCCAUGAACAACACUUUCCACAACAUUCCAGUGCUACAAAAACUCAACAACCUUCAUCAGGGAGCCAUGAUCAGUUUACACCAGUGUCAUCUACUGGACCUAAUAUUCAGCACCCUUCUACCAAAUUCCAUGACCAACACUUGCCGCAGCAAUCCAGUGCUACAAAACCUCAAUACCCUUCAUCCGGAACCCAUGAUCAGUUUACACCAGUGUCAUCUACUGGACCUAAUAUUCAGUACCCUUCCACCUUCCAUGACCAACACUUGCCGCAGCAAUCCAGUGCUACAAAACCUCAAUUCCCUUCAUCCGGAACCCAUGAUCAGUUUACACCAGUGUCAUCUACUGGACCUAAUAUUCAGCACCCUUCCACCUUCCAUGACCAACACUUACCACAACAAUUCAGUUCUACAAAACCUCAAUUCCCCUCAUCCGGAACCCAUGAUCAGUUUACACCAGUGUCAUCUACUGGACCUAAUAUUCAGCACCCUUCUACUAAAAUCCAUGACCAACACUUACCACAACAAUUCAGUGCUACAAAAUCUCAAUACCCUUCAUCUGGAAACCAUGAUCAGUUUACACCAGUUUCAUCUACUGGACCUAAUAUUCAGCACCCUUUGACCAAAAUCCAUGACCAACACUUGCCUCAACAAUCCAGUGCUACAAAAACUCAGUACCCUUCAUCUGGAACUCAUGAUCUGUUUACACCAGUGUCAUCUACUGAACCUAAUUUUCAGCACCCUUCUACCAAAAUCCAUGGCCAACACUUGCCUCACCAGUCUACUGCAACAAAAACUCAAUCCCCUCCAUCCAGAAGCACUGAUCGGUUCGCAUCAGAGUUAUCUACUGAACCCACACUUCGGCCCCCUUAUACCAAAAUCCAUGACCAACACUUGCCACAGCAAUCUAAUGAAACAAGAC